rnacentral:rRNA from 1 species
GCUCAGAAACUUACAUGAAUUGACGGGGCCCGCACAAGCGGUGGAGCAUGUGGUUUAAUUCGAUGAUACGCGAGGAACCUUACCUGGGCUCAAAUGUAUGUUGACGUAUUCUGAAAGGGAUACUUCUUCGGACAAUAUACAAGGUGCUGCAUGGUUGUCGUCAGCUCGUGCCGUGAGGUGUCGGGUUAAGUCCCAUAACGAGCGCAACCCCUAUCAUUAGUUGCCAUCAGGUCAAGCUGGGGACUCUAAUGAAACUGCCUACGCAAGUAGUGAGGAAGGUGGGGAUGACGUCAAAUCAGCACGGCCCUUACGUCCAGGGCUACACACGUGCUACAAUGGCCGGCACAACGGGAAGCGAGUUCGCGAGGACAAGCGGAUCCCUUAAAGCCGGUCGCAGUUCGGAUUGAAGUCUGCAACUCGACUUCAUGAAGCUGGAAUCGCUAGUAAUCGUGGAUCAGCCAAGCCGCGGUGAAUACGUUCCCGGGCCUU